rnacentral:tRNA from 1 species
GCUGAUUUGGCUCAGUAGAUAGAGCAUCAGCCUACAAACUGAAGGGUCCCUGGUUCGAUUCCAGUAAAAGGCA